rnacentral:rRNA from 1 species
GAUGAACGCUAGCGGUAUGCUUAACACAUGCAAGUCAUACGGGAGUUUUUAACUCAAGUGGCGGACGGGUGAGUAACACGUGAGAAUUUACCUUUAGGAGGGGGAUAACAAUUGGAAACGAUUGCUAAUACCCCAUAUGCUUUUUUAAGUGAAACGGAUUUAUUCGCCUAAAGAAAAGCUCGCGGCUGAUUAGCUAGUUGGUAAGGUAAUGGCUUACCAAGGCGACGAUCAGUAUCUGGUUUGAGAGGAUGAUCAGACACACUGGAACUGAGACACGGUCUAGACUCCUACGGGAGGCAGCAGUGGGGAAUUUUCCGCAAUGGGCGAAAGCCUGACGGAGCAAUACCGCGUGAGGGAANAAAGCCUACUGGGGUUGUAAACCCUCUUUUUUCUAGGGAGGGAAAAAAAUAGACGUGUACCUGAAGAAUAAGCAAUCGGCUAACUCCGUGCCAGCAGCCGCGGUAAUGUGACUACUG